UUUCUUACAUCCUCCCUGUGCUGUGAAUUUGGAUCUGGAGUCAAACAAACCUGGACUGAAAUCCUGGCCCUGCACGCCUCCAGCGUAUGUGAUGCCAGCCAAGUUACCAUCUCUGACCACUCUUCCCUUGUGUGGAAAAGAGAGGGAGGGCAACAGGGGCUUCUUCAUGUGGCUGGUGUAGGAAUCCAACGGAAAAGACCUGUAAAACUACGUUCCAUGCAGUUUGCCAACUGAUCUGACCAAUACUUAUCAAACACAAGCCACAAGCCAGACAUCCACCAGGGCCUGGGAGAGAAGGGUGAAGAAGACUGUCCAGGACCUCGCGGCGCUUAGAGUCUAGAGACUGGCACAGACAGACCAGGCCUCUGCCAAACUCUCCUUAGGCAGGAGCACAGAAAGCCCUUGAAGAAUCACAGAGGACCAAAGACUCGGGAGGGAAACGCUAGGAUGCAGGACAGGAGAAACGUGCCACCCUGGGAAUGCGACUCAACACUGACUUGACCCUGCUGCUCACAAGCUGGCGAUUUGGGGAGAGACCUGGCAAUAUUUGGAAACGUUUUUGGUUGUCACAGCCGCUAGGGAGGGAGCAACUGUUGCUACUGCUAUCUGGCGAAUUGGACCCGGGAUGCUGCUAAGCAUCUGCAACACGCAGGACAGCCCCACAAUGAAGAACAAUCCAGCUCCAAACGUCAGGACUUUUCGGGUUGGAAAAUCCUGGAUAAAAGACAGAGAGACAGAGCACGAGCGUGGGAGAGGCAGAGAGAAGGAGGCACAUGAUCCGAAGCAGGCUCCAGACUCUGAGCUGUCAGCACAGAGCCCGAUGCGGGGCUCAAACCCAUCAACUGUGAGAUCAUGACCUGAGCCGAAGUUGGAUGAUGCUUAACCAACUGAGCCACCCAAGUGCCCCAUGCGUGCACACUUUUAAGCCAGCAGGUCUGGCUUAUUUGUUAUAGCAACAAGUAGAAACUAACCAAGUGCCCAAGCCAGACGAUGCAAAUCCCCUGCAAGUAUCUGUCUUCUGUUUCUUUUUUUUUUUUAAUGCUUAUUUAUUUUUGAGAGAAAGAAAGAGCAGGGGGAGGGGCAGAGGGAGGGGGUGGAC